rnacentral:rRNA from 1 species
UGGGGAAUCUUGGACAAUGGGCGCAAGCCUGAUCCAGCCAUGCCGCGUGGAUGAUGAAGGCCUUAGGGUUGUAAAAUCCUUUCGUUGGGGACGAUAAUGACGGUACCCAAAGAAGAAGCUCCGGCUAACUUCGUGCCAGCAGCCGCGGUAAUACGAAGGGGGCUAGCGUUGUUCGGAUUUACUGGGCGUAAAGCGCGUGUAGGCGGACUUGUAAGUUGGGGGUGAAAUCCCGAGGCUCAACCUUGGAACUGCCUCCAAAACUACAAAUCUGGACCUAAGUAGAGGCAAGUGGAAUUGCGAGUGUAGAGGUGAAAUUCGUAGAUAUUCGCAGGAACACCAGUGGCGAAGGCGACUUGCUGGACUUAUGGUGACGCUGAGACGCGAAAGCGUGGGGAGCAAACAGGAUUAGAUACCCCGGUAGUCCCUGAGCGGGCUGGCAAGGCGCAU